CCUACGGGAGGCAGCAGUGGGGAAUAUUGCACAAUGGGGGAAACCCUGAUGCAGCGACGCCGCGUGAGUGAAGAAGUAUUUCGUUACGUAAAGCUCUAUCAGCCGGGAAGAUAAUGACGGUACCUGACUAAGAAGCCCCGGCUAACUACGUGCCAGCAGCCGCGGUAAUACGUAGGGGGCAAGCGUUAUCCGGAUUUACUGGGUGUAAAGGGAGCGUAGACGGCAGCGCAAGUCUGGAGGGAAAUCCCAUGGCUUAACCAUGGAACUGCUUUUGAAACUGUGCAGCUAGAGUGCAGGAGAAGUAAGCGGAAUUCCUGGUGUAGCGGUGAAAUGCGUAGAUAUUAGGAGGAACACCAGUGGCGAAGGCGGCUUACUGGACUGUAACUGACGUUGAGGCUCGAAAGCGUGGGGAGCAAACAGGAUUAGAUACCCGAGUAGUC
rnacentral:rRNA from 1 species